rnacentral:lncRNA from 1 species
GCUUCAUCUUCCUUUCUCCUUGCAUCGGUACCUAUCUAUGAUGACCUGAGGAUACAAGUAAUUUUGAAAGCGAGUAUCAGCUAUAAAGCUGGUGAGAUCAUAAGUAUUAAUGUGCCUUAAUUUGUGAAAACUUAUAAUUUCUAAGACAUGACAUUACUUUGAAAGAAAGCUAGUAUAAGUAUGAAAAUGUUUGUAACUCAACUGUGAAUGUUUGAAAAUCCCUAGAAAUCCCUAUGAUUCCUAUUAGUAACAAAAAGGAGUCUUCUACCAAGACUUAACUGUUCUGUGUGUAGUCUUCUACCAAGACCUAACUGUUCUGAAUGUAGUCUUCUACCAAGACCUAACUGCUCUGAAUGUAGUCUUCUACCAAGACCUAACUGUUCUGAAUGUAGUCUUCUACCAAGACCUAACUGUGUUACUAUUAUUAUCAUUAUAAGAAAUUGUAUCCUUUAGUACUAGGAUACCUAAAUAUAAUUCACCUCCUUGGUUAUGUGAAUGAGUCACAAAAUAAGGUAAUAAUAUAACUAAACUGAAUAUUACCCUUUGGUACUAGGGUAACUAUCAUUGAUAACUUUAAGCCAUCCGUAGAUGUACUCUUACCUCUGUUGCUAACAGCUGGGUAUAGGAAUAGUCAAUCCCUUAAUUGCGUACCUGUAAUGGUACCAACCGUUUGACAUCCGUGGAUGUACUUUUACCUCUGUUGCUAACAGAGAUUCUAGGAAUGGUCAAUCCCUCAAUACGUAUCCUUUGGUACUAGGAUAAUAAUCCAUUCUACCUCGUCGAUUAUGUGAUUUUAUCACAAGGUAAAGGUAAGAACACGGAUUUGAUAACGGAGUCGAUACAUAUAAAAUGUAAUAGGACUCCUACUGAUAUAUCUAUGCACAAGUACUUCUAUAAGUAUAAUAAGGUAAAUAUUAUAGUAGAGUACGGUAAGGUUCAUCGUGUGCUAGCUGUAAUGUGUGCUCUCUUUAUCUAGCAAGUAUAGUAAUGUAAACGUUCUAGUAUAGAUGUAUAUGUUCUCGUCCUAGUAUAAUUGUACAUGCAUUGUAUAGUAAUGUUCUAGAAAGUAUUGACUCAUGAAUGAACUGACUCAUUGUAUGAUAUCGCGUUCUAGUAAUGGUUCUAGUAUCUUCCUGAACUACCCAUAUGGUAGCUUACUAGUAAUCUAAGUAGUACGUAUGGACGUGGAUGUAUACCCUUGCUACCCAAGGGCAUAGGAUGAACUGGAAGGACCUUUUAUGACUAUAUAUGUACACAUGAU